GGGGGUGAACGGUUUCGACUCCUGAAGCAGAGCAAGGGGAAGCGUGCCGAGGAAGGCGACGAUGACCUCGUUAACCAUGCGUCGCAAAAAAAUAAGUGCCGCUGAUAAGCGCACUGACUUCGCCCUCGCCGCCUGAGCGAGCUAGAAGUCUGUCGGCCCGGGGGCGUCCCCGCCCCGGUGUCCGGCAUCAGCUAGGGGACUCACCCUCCGGUCCGGUCGCGGGACCGUAGGGGACACCAAACAGCGACUGGGAUCGUCACCCCGGCCAGUCCGCGGGACCGGGGGAUCCGAGCAGAGGCAGAGCGGACUGCGCACGGAGAAGCCCUUGCGAAGCGAGGGAGGACCCGGGUUCGAUUCCCGGCACCUCCACCA
rnacentral:tmRNA from 1 species